rnacentral:rRNA from 1 species
UCCUUUGGAACAAGGCGUCAUAGAGGGUGAGAAUCCCGUCUACGACACGGACUGCCAGUGCUUUGUGAUACACUCUCAACGAGUCGAGUUGUUUGGGAAUGCAGCUCAAAAUGGGUGGUAAAUUCCAUCUAAAGCUAAAUACGGGCGAAAGACCGAUAGCGAACAAGUACCGUGAGGGAAAGAUGAAAAGCACUUUGGAAAGAGAGUUAAACAGUACGUGAAAUUGUUGAAAGGGAAACGCUUGAAGUCAGUCGCGUCUUCAGAAAUUCAGCCUGGCUUCUGCCUGGUGUACUUUUCUGUUGGACGGGCCAGCAUCAGUUUUGGCCGCCAGAAAAAGGUGGGAGGAAGGUGGCACCUCCGGGUGUGUUAUAGCCUCUCAUCGUAUGUGGCGGCUGGGACUGAGGAUCGCAGCAUGCCUUCAUGGCC